rnacentral:rRNA from 1 species
UACGUAGGUGGCAAGCGUUGUCCGGAUUUACUGGGUGUAAAGGGCGUGUAGCCGGGUUGACAAGUCAGAUGUGAAAUCCUGCGGCUUAACCGCAGAACUGCAUUUGAAACUGUUGAUCCUGAGUACUGGAGAGGCAGACGGAAUUCCUAGUGUAGCGGUGAAGUGCGUAGAUAUUAGGAGGAACACCAGUGGCGAAGGCGGUCUGCUGGACAGCAACUGACGCUGAGGCGCGAAAGCGUGGGGAGCAAACAGG